AACGAACGCUGGCGGCAGGCCUAACACAUGCAAGUCGAGCGCCCCGCAAGGGGAGCGGCGGACGGGUGAGUAACGCGUGGGAACGUGCCUCUUGCUACGGAAUAGCCUCGGGAAACUGGGAGUAAUACCGUAUGUGCCCUACGGGGGAAAGAUUUAUCGGCAAGAGAUCGGCCCGCGUUGGAUUAGGUAGUUGGUGGGGUAAUGGCCUACCAAGCCGACGAUCCAUAGCUGGUUUGAGAGGAUGAUCAGCCACACUGGGACUGAGACACGGCCCAGACUCCUACGGGAGGCAGCAGUGGGGAAUCUUAGACAAUGGGCGCAAGCCUGAUCUAGCCAUGCCGCGUGAGCGAUGAAGGCCUUAGGGUUGUAAAGCUCUUUCAGUGGGGGAGAUAAUGACUGUACCCACAGAAGAAGCCCCGGCUAACUCCGUGCCAGCAGCCGCGGUAAU
rnacentral:rRNA from 1 species